UGGCAAGCUGACGGAGCAUGCCGCGUGAGGGAUGAAGGCCUCUGGGCUGUAAACCUCUUUUCUCAAGGAAGAAGAUCUGACGGUACUUGAGGAAUAAGCCACGGCUAAUUCCGUGCCAGCAGCCGCGGUAAUACGGGAGUGGCAAGCGUUAUCCGGAAUUAUUGGGCGUAAAGCGUCCGCAGGCGGCCUUACAAGUCUGUCGUUAAAGCGUGGAGCUUAACUCCAUUUAAGCGAUGGAAACUGUAAGGCUAGAGUGUGGUAGGGGCAGAGGGAAUUCCCGGUGUAGCGGUGAAAUGCGUAGAUAUCGGGAAGAACACCAGUGGCGAAGGCGCUCUGCUGGGCCAUAACUGACGCUCAUGGACGAAAGCCAGGGGAGCGAAAGGGAUUAGAUACCCCUGUAGUCCUGGCCGUAAACGAUGAACACUAGGUGUCGGGGGAAUCGACCCCCCCGGUGUCGUAGCCAACGCGUUAAGUGUUCCGCCUGGGGAGUACGCACGCAAGUGUGAAACUCAGAGGAAUUGACGGGGGCCCGCACAAGCGGUGGAGUAUGUGGUUUAAUUCGAUGCAACGCGAAGAACC
rnacentral:rRNA from 1 species